rnacentral:rRNA from 1 species
ACAGCAGCAGCCACGGGAAUACAGAGGGUGCGAGCGUUAAUCGGAUUUACUGGGCGUAAAGCGUGCGUAGGCGGCUUUUUAAGUCGGAUGUGAAAUCCCUGAGCUUAACUUAGUAAUUGCAUUCGAUACUGGGAAGCUAGAGUAUGGGAGAGGAUGGUAGAAUUCCAGGUGUAGCGGUGAAAUGCGUAGAGAUCUGGAGGAAUACCGAUGGCGAAGGCAGCCAUCUGGCCUAAUACUGACGCUGAGGUACGAAAGCAUGGGGAGCAAACAGGAUUAGAUACCCGCGUAGUCCCUGUCUCUUAUAC